AGUAAAUACUCCGAUUCGGAUCCGGAAUAUCUGCCUUGGCAGUGUUGGUGGUGGUCGUAUGUAGCGGUGUGAGGAUGAACUCUAGAUCGGUCUGCCAUUCGUCAAAACUGCCAUCAUCGGUGGGCUGAGUGGAAUGUUUUGGUAGGCCAAAGUUGAUGAAUUAACAUUUAUGGUGAUAAAAUUAAAUGUUUGGAUAUGGACUAUCAAUGUAUCAUAUACAAGUAUAUGAAGUUCAUAAUAAUUAAUUUCUAGGAAUUCUUUAGAACUUUUGUAGUCUUAAAAGAGCAGAGAUAGUCAUGGAUAGCUGAAAUCCUACACCUCUCUAAAGAACUGACUAAGAAUAGUGGAACCUAUCAUUUCAAGGAACAAUCUAGAGUCGAGGGAUUCUUUGGCCGCAUCCUGGGUAUGAGUUGCCGUCUUCCUUCCCUCCCCAAAUCCUGAUCAUAGUUUUCUAUGAGCGUGAUAUACCGGAUACGAUGAUGAUGAUGAUGAUGAGAUAGUCAUCGACUAUUUUGUUUGUAUACAAACUGUGAACUGAGCUGCAAAAAUCAAAUUGCAAAAAAACUGAACCGUCCAAAAAUCAGCUCAAAAUGUAGGUUGAUUGCAGGUGGGGGCUGGAGUGAGGACUCAGCUUAGAUCCCGUAACCAUCAAGAUUAAGAUAUAAUUUGUAAUAAGUUUAUGAGUCGAAAUAACUCGGUUUAUGUAACGAAAGUUUAUGACGUUUUUCUUUUAUUUCGUACAACUUUUUAGCUAGUCUAGAGGCCGGUACGUAGGCUCUCGAGUUGUAUGUAAAGACUUCCGCUGACUUGUUUUCUUAUUUGGCGUUAAUCUUGACUCUAAUUCCAUCUCAAGUCUCAAGUCUCAAGUCUCAAGUCUCAUUUUGCCACUCACGAAUUGACUUAGUCCAAUUUGUCUACUUAGUAUACAAGU